rnacentral:rRNA from 1 species
GUUUCCUACGGGGCGCAGCAGUGGGGAAUAUUGCACAAUGGGGGAAACCCUGAUGCAGCGACGCCGCGUGGGUGAAGAAGUAUUUCGGUAUGUAAAGCCCUAUCGGCAGGGAAGAAUUUAGACGGUACCUGACUAAGAAGCCCCGGCUAACUACGUGCCAGCAGCCGCGGUAAUACGUAGGGGGCAAGCGUUAUCCGGAUUCACUGGGCGUAAAGGGAGCGUAGACGGCCAAGCAAGCCUGGAGUGAAAGCCCGGGGCCCAACCCCGGGACUGCUCUGGGAACUGUG